GACAUAGGUGGCGAACGUUAUCCGGAUUUAUUGGGCGUAAAGGAUGCGUAGAUGGUGGAAUAAGUUAUUGGUCGAGGUCAAGCUCAACUUGGCGGAAGCUGGUAAUACUGUUCUACUCGAGGACAGGAGAGGUUGACGGAAUUCUGUGUGGAGCGGUGAAAUGCGUUGAUCUACAGAGGAACACCAAAAAAGGGCGAAGGGCAGUCAACUAUUCUGAUCCUGACAUUGAGGCAUGAAAGCCGUGGGGAGCAAACCGG
rnacentral:rRNA from 1 species